GACGAACGCUGGCGGCGUGCUUAACACAUGCAAGUCGAACGGAAAGGCCCUGCUUGCAGGGUACUCGAGUGGCGAACGGGUGAGUAACACGUGGGUGAUCUGCCCUGCACUUCGGGAUAAGCCUGGGAAACUGGGUCUAAUACCGGAUAGGAGCCAUUUUUAGUGUGAUGGUUGGAAAGUUUUUUCGGUGUAGGAUGAGCUCGCGGCCUAUCAGCUUGUUGGUGGGGUAAUGGCCUACCAAGGCGGCGACGGGUAGCCGGCCUGAGAGGGUGGACGGCCACCUUGGGACUGGGAUACGGCCCAGACUCCUACGGGAGGCAGCAGUGGGGAAUAUUGCACAAUGGGCGCAAGCCUGAUGCAGCGACGCCGCGUGGGGGAUGACGGCCUUCGGGUUGUAAACUCCUUUCGCUAGGGACGAAGCUUUUUGUGACGGUACCUAGAUAAGAAGCACCGGCUAACUACGUG
rnacentral:rRNA from 1 species